AUUGAACGCUGGCGGCAUGCUUUACACAUGCAAGUCGAACGGUAACAGGCCUUCGGGUGCUGCCGAGUGGCGAACGGGUGAGUAAUGCAUCGGAACGUACCCAGAGGUGGGGGUUAACGCAGCGAAAGCUGUGCUAAUACCGCAUGUGAUCUGAGGAUGACAGCGGGGGACCGCGCAGCAAUGUUUGGCCUCGCGCCUUUGGAGCGGCCGAUGUCGGAUUAGCUAGUUGGUGGGGUAAAGGCCUACCAAGGCGACGAUCCGUAGCUGGUCUGAGAGGACGACCAGCCACACUGGGACUGAGACACGGCCCAGACUCCUACGGGAGGCAGCAGUGGGGAAUUUUGGACAAUGGGCGCAAGCCUGAUCCAGCAAUGCCGCGUGCGGGAAGAAGGCCUUCGGGUUGUAAACCGCUUUUGGCAGGAACGAAACGGUGUCCGCUAAUACCGGGCGCUAAUGACGGUACCUGCAGAAUAAGCACCGGCUAACUACGUG
rnacentral:rRNA from 1 species